rnacentral:rRNA from 1 species
AUUGAACGCUGGCGGCAUGCUUUACACAUGCAAGUCGAACGGCAGCGGGGAGGAGCUUGCUUCUCUGCCGGCGAGUGGCGCACGGGUGAGUAAUACAUCGGAACGUGUCGAGAAGAGGGGGAUAACCACCCGAAAGGGUGGCUAAUACCGCAUAAAUUCUGAGGAAGAAAGCUGGGGACCUAGGAAUAGGCCUAGCGCUUUUUGAGCGGCCGAUGUCGGAUUAGCUAGUUGGUGAGGUAAAGGCUCACCAAGGCGAAGAUCUGUAGCGGGUCUGAGAGGAUGAUCCGCCACACUGGGACUGAGACACGGCCCAGACUCCUACGGGAGGCAGCAGUGGGGAAUUUUGGACAAAGGGGGCAACCCUGAUCCAGCCAUGCCGCGUGUAUGAAGAAGGCCUUAGGGUUGUAAAGUACUUUUGUUAGGGAAGAAAAGUCAGCUGUGAAUAAUGGCUGAUACUGACGGUACCUAAAGAAUAAGCACCGGCUAACUACGUG